UCCCUGGUGGCCCAAUGGUUAAGACUCUGCACUUCCACUGCAGGGGGCAUGGGUUCAAUUCCUGGUUGGGGAG
rnacentral:tRNA from 1 species